rnacentral:tRNA from 1 species
GUUUCCAUAGUGUAGUGGUUAUCACGUCGGCCUAACACUCUGAAUGUUUGCCCUCAGUUCGAUCCUGGGUUGGAAACC